UAGAGAGCAAAAUUCUUUUGGAAUUUUUCUAGCAGGAUUUCUGACUUUGCUCAGAAAACCCAA
rnacentral:snRNA from 1 species